UACACUACAAAACUAAAGAAAAAUAAGUGGGAAUUAUUUUGCAGUUGAAUUUUUUUAAAUAAAAACUAAAGGCAACUGAUAAUCUAAGCAGCAAGCGUUGAGGAACGGGGUGCAGCACUAUAAGAGAAAUGCGUUAUUUACAAAAUCCAA
ensembl:ncRNA C35A11.5 ncRNA